GUAACUUCCGAGUGGGUCACCUAUCCUGGGAGUGCUAUGGCCUAUUUCUCGCUUAACUUCGGAGUUCCUACGAAACCCGAAGCCAGUGAGCUCCCAAAAAGCCUCGUGCUAGAUAGGGAUGGGAAUAUACAUUUAAGGAUCACUCCACCGGACGAUGUGGAAUGUUACAAUCCACCCCCCGUAGGGGCCUGACGUCCUGGUCGGCACACUUCCUGGCAGAGAUUGGCUUUGAUACCAUUCUUGUCACAUCUCGGCCUGGGUCCACCACAUCCCAGGACUGUUCCACCACCGUAGCACGAUAUUGUCCACUUUGGGCUUACCAUUCCAAUACCAACUAACACACCCCGACCCGGAAUAUCCACUGGGACUCCGAAUCGAGAUGUGCUAGCCGACACCUGAAAUGUGACGAAGCCAUAAAGUGUGAUGAUGUGGAAAAAUUGUGAAUAAAUUUAAACCUAAUAGUGCCUAAAUACCAGAGUGCACUGGUGAGUGGGAAUAAACCCAUUGUAUAUGUGAUGUUAGAGCAUAAGUAAGUACAGAAUAGUGAAUUAGGAAUCAUACCCUAGAAAUAAUUUCCAGUAUUAAGGAUCACCACGAACCUUCGACGAUAAGAAAUCUCAGCUAAGUAGACCUGAAGGGUUCUUGUCACAUCUCGGCCCAGGUCCACCACAUCCCGAGCCCGUUCCACCAGCGUAGCACGAUAUUGUUUACUUUGGGCUUAUCAUUCCCUCACGGUUUUGUUUUUGGGAACUCACGAGCAACUUCCCAAUGGGUCACCCAUCCUGGGAGUGCUAUGGCCUCCUUCUCGCUUAACUUCGGAGUUCCUACGGAACUCGAAGCCAGUGAGCUUCCAAAAAACCUCGUGCUAGUUAGGGAUGGGAAUAUACAUUUAAGGAUCACUCCUUUGGGUGAUGUGGGAUGUUACAUCUACCCCUUUACAACAGAAAAAAAAAGGCAAAGGUAUGCAAAAAUUGAGUUUCAUUGGCAAAAUGGCACAAAUUGAGUUUCACAAGAUAUUAAAGUUGAGUUUCAAGGUGAAGCCUAAAAGAAGUUAAUGUUUCACUUUAAAAAACCAAUUAUCAAUAGGAAUAAAAGACCCAAAAUCACUUUAAGGGAGCUAUAUUCACAUUAGGAUUUGAAAGAAUUUGAAAAUAUUUUCUUAAGUGAUAAAUUGCAUGAGAUUGUGGAGACUUUUGCAAAGACUAAAAUAUAAGAAUUUUUGAAUAUUUUAGUAUAAGAUUUUGAAAUAUUUUCUUGAAAAUAAACAGCUAAUACAAUUGAUCGGGCAACUAUUAAACAUAUUUAGGCAAGUUUUAUUCACAGUCGGGCAAAUUUGUUCACCGAUCGUCCAAAUGCUAGUAUAUGUAGAAAGUGUUUGUGAAAGAGAACUUACUACAAGGAAUCAGGGAAUCGAUACUACAAGUAAUGUAGCAGAGCAAUACAAAAGGAAUUUGUAAGAGUAGGCUUGUAGAGCUUUAAUGUCUUUUUGUAUAUUGAGUUGAGUCUUCUUCUUCUAUCUUUUUGUUGCCUUUCAUAAAACCACCUUCUACUUAUGGAGUAAGCUUUUCCCUCUCAGUUUAUUCCUUCAUAUCCAAGUUGUUGAUGUGAUUACUGUCAAAGGAUAAUUUUCCUCUUGCUAACUCGAGCUUUUAUCCGCUCAAAACUACAAGUUCACCACUGUAAAGUAUUUUUCCUUCUUUCUUUUUGCUACCUUUUAUAAAACCACCUCAUACUUCUAGAGUAAGCUUUUCCCUCUCGGUUCAUUCCCUCAAAUCCAAGUUGUUGUUGUAAUUGAUGUCAGAGGAUAAGUUUCCUCUUGCUAACUCGAGCUUUUAUCAUCUCAAAACGACAAGUUUGCCGCUGAAAAAUGCUAUUUCUUCUAUAAAAAUGACUGAGCAACCUUCUUUCUAUGUGAAAGAGGGUUUUUUGCCACUCACAAUGACAUGUCAUAAAGUGUUUUUCAAAAACUGGGCUUGGCACUAUUCAAAUAAACACCCAAUAAACUUUUACACUUAAAUCUAGUGUUUUUUGGCUAGGAGUUGGACAGGCCCAUUGUUUGAUUUUAGCCCAAACAAGAAUGACUAGCACAUCUAGAAAAUUCUUAUUCAGCCAAGUACAUUGAAGUGCAACCUUUAAUUCUGUUUGAUGAAUCUACUAGCAAGGUGACAUCUAAUAUAUUAGAGAUGCAAAGUUUAGUUUUGCAGCGCCUGAUGUCUUUAUGUUCCGGAUUCCAAUGUUAUUAUUCCCUAUGUCCCUCAUGCCACUUGUCCUUCAAUUUCUUCCAUAGAAAGUAGUUACUUUUGUAGUGCUAACUGCUAAUAAGCAGCUUGUUAUAACCUGUACCUUAAAAUAAUGUAUUUUAUUCCCGAAAAGUAUGCAAUAAUCAAAAUGCCCCUAGUGUGGAUGUCUUGAAUAAAUGUGGACCUCUAAGUUUAAUUUCAAUUUAUCGUAUUUUCUUAUUUUAUUAAAUUAGUUUUUAUACUCCCAAUUGUGCGGGCGAAAGUUUAAUCGGAUUAAGAGUUACGAAAGUUGAGUUGUGAUUUUUGGAAGUUGGAGGGCAAAACUGUAAUUUCCUUGAAAAUUUUAAAGUUGGUUCUCACUCUACUCUCGUUCACUCUCUCUUCCUCCUUCCCAAUUAUGUAACACCUCUCUUUCACUAAGUCAUGACUCUCUCACUCUCUUAAGCUCCGAGCACCACCACCCAACUUCGACCAAAACUCGACCCCAAACUAAAUCACCAUAACCUGAUGAACUUAAUGAUGGCCUUGUAUGUGGGAAUCAGAGUCCAGGAGUAGGAGAAGUCGAGUCACCAAGACUCUCUGGUGAGUUUGAGUUGGGACUCGAUGUCAUGGAGGUGAGUUUGGGUAGGUAAAGUAUACCUAAGGGCGUGAGACAACUCUUUCUAAGGAACUCGGCAAAAUAGCCUUAUAACUACCAAAAACACAAGUCUCUGCAAAGUUGUAAGACCAUGUAUGGGGCCGAUGCUUGUCUAGUGUUGAAAGGUUAAGGAAGUUGGUGACCUGAUGAUAGGCGAAUGGCCAUCGGCGUUAACUAUAAUAGACGCAACGAUGAUUACAGUUAGAGAUGAUAGAAUCUCCAACAGAGAAGGUAUAUUCUAUCACAUUCUCGGUUCACACACUCGCCC
rnacentral:lncRNA from 1 species